rnacentral:rRNA from 1 species
AAUCAACGCUGGCGGCGUGCCUAACACAUGCAAGUCGAACGCGAGAGGGGCUUCGGCCCUGAUUGAGUGGCAAACGGGUGAGUAACGCGUGGGUGACCUACCUUCGAGUGGGGGAUAACGUUCCGAAGGGACGCUAAUACCGCAUAACAUCCUGUCUUGGACAGAUGGAGAUCAAAGCCGGGGAUCGUAAGACCUGGCGCUUGAGGAGGGGCCCGCGUCCGAUUAGCUAGUUGGUGGGGAAUGGCUCACCAAGGCAACGAUCGGUAGCCGGCCUGAGAGGGCGGACGGCCACACUGGGACUGAGACACGGCCAGACUCCUACGGGAGGCAGCAGUGGGGAAUUGUUCGCAAUGGGCGCAAGCCUGACGACGCAACGCCGCGUGAAGGAUGAAGGUCUCGGAUGUAAACUUCUGUUGAUCGGGACGAACAGCCAAGGGAUCAAUACCCCUUUGG